rnacentral:rRNA from 1 species
CGGACGGGUGAGUAACGCGUGGAUAACCUGCCCCAUACCGGGGGAUAACAGCCGGAAACGGCUGCUAAUACCGCAUAAGCGCACGAGGCUGCAUGGCCUUGUGUGAAAAACUCCGGUGGUAUGGGAUGGAUCCGCGUCUGAUUAGCUAGUCGGUGAGAUAAAAGCCCACCAAGGCGACGAUCAGUAGCCGACCUGAGAGGGUGGCCGGCCACAUUGGGACUGAGACACGGCCCAGACUCCUACGGGAGGCAGCAG